CAAUUUACACAAAAAGUGCCCAAUUUUAGUUGUAUUGGUUUUGAGAUAUUGUCUUAAUUUGUAUAUAAGUAGUCAUGGGAGAAGUAACCAUGACUUUAGGUGUUUUAUAGUAAGAGUCCACAUGUUGCUACUUUUUAGUACCCAUAGAAAGGAAGUACUCUUUAUGCAAUUUUGUAAUACUACAUACAUUUGAAUGAAGGAGUUCAUAUAUUUGCCUCAUUUUUAUUUGAAAUAUAUAAUUUAGAUAUUAAA
rnacentral:lncRNA from 1 species